GGGUGAUGGCUCAGUUGAUAAAGUGUCUGCUGCACAAGCAUGAGGACCCGGGUUCAAUCCCUCGGUGCCCA
rnacentral:tRNA from 1 species